rnacentral:lncRNA from 1 species
GCUGUUAUAUAUGUUUUUAUUAUGGCUAAACUAAACUUUGAAGAAUCAAGGAUUAAUUUGGUAUAGUAAAAUACCCUUUUGGUUCACCUAAGUUGGAAUACCCUGAAUAAUCCCCCUUGUAGUUUAGUUUUGAUUGUUUUCACUUAGAAUAUAAGUCGAAAAAACUGACAAACGUCAUUUAGAUUUUUGCAAUUCGCAAAACUGCCAUUCAAAUAUGCUUUACUAAAAUAGGUGUCUUGUAGGCAGUUUAUAAUGUGACCAUGUGUCUCUUUUGGACCCCACAAUUCAUCUUUUAGGUUUGUGUGGCUAAAAAAAAAAGAAGUAGGUCAAAAAAUUUGUUCUCAUCUUGAUUAAAAAGACUUACUCAUUUUUUAGCACAACUCAAAAAC